rnacentral:rRNA from 1 species
UAGGGAAUCUUCCACAAUGGGCGGAAGCCUGAUGGAGCAACGCCGCGUGUGUGAUGAAGGGUUUCGGCUCGUAAACACUGUUGUAAGAGAAGAAUGACAUUGAGAGUAACUGUUCAAUGUGUGACGGUAUCUUACCAGAAAGGAACGGCUAAAUACGUGCCAC